UACGUAGGGUGCAAGCGUUAUCCGGAAUUAUUGGGCGUAAAGAGCUCGUAGGCGGUUUGUCGCAUCUGCUGUGAAAACCGGAGGCUCAACCUCCGGCCUGCAGUGGGUACGGGCAAACUAGAGUGCGGUAGGGGAGAUUGGAAUUCCUGGUGUAGCGGUGGAAUGCGCAGAUAUCAGGAGGAACACCGAUGGCGAAGGCAGAUCUCUGGGCCGUAACUGACGCUGAGGAGCGAAAGCGUGGGGAGCGAACAGG
rnacentral:rRNA from 1 species